UACCUUGAAGUUUAUUCUUUCAGCUUGUUUAUGGCUUGUCUGACUCUGGAUGGAAGGCUGAACAGAGAUGAAACGUUGAAAAUAGCUGGAUUUCUCAAAUUUAUUAAGAAAAAGGGGCAUCCUAUACGAUACUCCCUCUGUUUCGUAUAUGUCAAUUUCCUUCAAACCCUGCAUAUAUUUCCAGAAUGGCCUCCACAUGGACCAGAUCCACUAUCACCUUCAAGGUAUCGCAUUUGAAUGCAGAAUUCAAGUAGGCAAAGCUAACUGGAAAAAAAUAAAAACUG
rnacentral:lncRNA from 1 species